rnacentral:ncRNA from 1 species
AUAAAAGCUUUGAAAAGGAAGAGUAAAUUAUUUUCGUUUUUAUAGAGAGAAAGUGGUUGGUGAAAACUUUCAAACGAAAUAAUUGAAGGUAGCCUUGGAGCUGUUUUUCUGAAAUCUGAGUAGGAAAAGCCGGUGAAGUGUCAUCGUUAUUUGAAUGAAGUGCUCAAAAUUUAUGUUUAUUUUGAGUAAAAAGGUGGUACCGCGAAUCCAAAAA